CUCAGUAGCUUAGUUGGUAAAGCGUUCGUCUAGCAUACAAGAGUCGUGGGUUCAAAUCCAGCCUAAG
rnacentral:tRNA from 1 species